rnacentral:lncRNA from 1 species
CCGCUCCCUGGGGCGCCCGCUCGCGCCGCGCCUGGGCCUCGCGCCGCCUUCAGUGGCCCCGCCGGCCGGUCGCGGGGUGCCGGGUGCCCGCCAGCCGCAUUCCGACACAGAGGGCCUGCCUGGCCGCCGCGAUCUUCGGCGGCUGCUCCGCGAGCCCGGGUGGUGAGGUGCACCUGUUCUUCAGCCGGCCCGCAGCCAACCCUCGACCAGCACUCUUCUGGAGAGACCAAUCCCAGCGCAGCGCGGAGGGCUAGCGGCCCGGCUCGCCUUGCUCCAGCCGUUCGCUGCUGCGCGCCGCUGCCGCCGCCGCCGGAGAGUCAAACUCCAGCGAACAGCGCCGCUGUCGCCGCCGCGAGCCAGGGGCUGGGGGCGCACCGGGCGCCCGCGGCGGGUGCGGUCUGACCCGCCUCCGAGGGACCCAACAAGCAGGCAGAGGAUCGGAAAUCACGCCCCGGCGCCCUGCCCGGUUGAGCGUGGGGGACGGAAGCGGGAGACUGCGUCGGGGGUCCCGGGGAACGCAGACCCCGGGCCGAGGGCGUCUCCAGACGGGCUCUGGCUGCCAGGCUGGGGGAGAGCCAAACGUUACACUGAAGAGACUGCAGAGAGCCGAGGAUGCAUUGAAACAGGAAGCCCCUGGGGUUUGGUGCCUACCAGAGUACUUUGUACAGACACGGUUAAUAAAUUAUUUUUGAUGGCAGUAAUGCGGCUGUCACCUCUUUCAGCUAAAACAUUGAGAUUUUCC